ACAAAAGGAAGCGAAGGUGCGAGCUGGAGCGGAUCUCAUAAAGUACGUCUAAGUUCGGAUUGGAGUCUGCAACUCGACUCCAUGAAGUCGGAAUCGCUAGUAAUCGUAGAUCAGAAUGCUACGGUGAAUACGUUCCCGGGCCUUGUACACACCGCCCGUCACACCAUGGGGGUGGGUUGCACCAGAAGUAGAUAGCUUAACCGCGAGGGGGGCGUUUACCACGGUGUGAUUCAUGACUGGGGUGAAGUCGUAACAAGGUAACCA
rnacentral:rRNA from 1 species